UGACAAGCCCGGCAGGGCUGGGCCGGAGCCAGCGGGGGACAAAGCCCGGCUUCAGGUCGAGCCUGCACCUUGGCCUCGAGGUUCCCAGACGCGCGUCCCGACGCCCAGAAUUAUGAGGCUCCAGGACCAAUUAGGGCUGCUGGCGCUGACGUCAGGUCUGGGCGGCGUCUUCUUCCUUCCCGGGAAUCCGGGGCCCCAGAGCGAGCACGGGAGGGAGGCUGCGCCAUGGGGUCCCCGAGGGGGCCGGGUCCUCUGCAACGCCCCGGAGCCGGGUGGGGAAAGCACAGCUCCUGCGCCCCGACUGUGCGUGCCGGGCACACGGUGCGGGCAGAAGCGAGUCUGGCCCUGCGGCGGGGCCACGUGGGGCGCAGCAGAGCGGAGCCUGGUGCCUUGUGGGGUGCGCUCCCCUGGGGGCGGGUGAGGACGCCGUGCACCCAACUCGCAGGGCGGGGCUGGGCACAUGACACGGCGCACGGUGCCCGCACCCUUGACCAAGACCUCCGGAGGGGGCAGGCUGCCUGUGCCCCAGGACUCGGAUGCCCAGUGCUUGGGCGCCUCCUGCACGCAGGAGGAAGGAGCCGGCCCUGGAGUGUUAACCUGCGUGCGUGAGCGUGAGCCUGAGCGUGAACGUGAGCACCCUGCUACGGUUUUCCCAUGGUGCUGAGGGGAACCCCGGGCCUCCAGCCCUGCAUGUGCCUUCACGGGGUCCCUGCACUGCCGCCGUCUUCGGGGUGAAGCCUGUCUCGCAGUGGGGACCAGGGUGGCUCAUGGGGCACAGUCAGGGCCACCAUCCUCCGGGCUCUAGGGGAGCCACGGAGCGUCCUGGAUCGAGGGUCACACUCCACAAGCUUUGGCUGGGGGGAUUAGGGGUGAAACCAGAGAAGCCGGGCCCAGCCGAGGCAGUGCCCCGUGUGAAUGAGGAGGACGCACAGAGGGGACCCCAGCCCGGAGCACAGGGCUCCUUAGCCAGAGCCAGGCUCCCCGCAGAGUGAGUGACCUGCCCAACAGGACCUGUCGGCCGGCAAGAGGGAACCACGUGAUUGUCACUUAGGGCCUCUGUCCCCUGGCCCAGUUUCCCUCGCGGCCCCCACAAACCAGGGGAGCAGGGAGGGUGGCCGGAAGGGUCCCCGGUUCCGCCACAGGGUCCAGUUGGGUCCCGGCACUGUCCUCUUGCUCCCCCGCCCCGCCUGCCUGUGCUGCUCCUGUGAGUGGUGCGAGGAGGGGGCAGCCAGAUGGACAGGGCCAGGUGGGGACGGCCCGGCGCCAGCGGGCAGGAACAGGAGAGGCCAGGCCCCUGCGCUGGGCCCUGUUCCCAGGUCGCGACCACCCACGAGGCCCUGACCCGACCCGGGUGCUGGGUCUGGCCCAUUCCAGGAGGGGCCCUGGGCGGCAACUCCUCUGAAGAGCUCCUGCAGGACCACGAGUGCCAGGGUGGCACGGGCACGGGGCAGGGAACAGCUGAGUGGGCACCAAGCCUGUGUCCUCACGGGCAGCGUCCAGUGCACGAUUCGGACCUGAUUCCAACCGCUGCUGAGCGCAGGUGCUGUCAGUUUGAAUUCUGGGUCCCCGAAGCCUCGUGUGUUUCUGGCUGGGAAAGUGGUUGGGUCCAGCUGCGUUUGAUGAAUCCGCCCGUCCACGGACUCAUCGGGGGACCUGCUCCUGGGAGCGGCUUAACCGGAUAAGGGGGGACUGGGCAUGGUUUUGGGGGACACACACUGUCCCUGCCCUUGCCUGUGGCUUCCCCAUCCUGAUGCUUCCGGACCUCCGCCAGACCCUGCCGCCAUGGUGCUCCUGCCGGGGCAGCAGGCGUGGACUGAGCCCUCCGAGGCCGUGGCUGGGUCGGACCUCCCAGGCCGAGGUGUCCACACUGAGCACCGACCAGUGCAUGUGCUGAGACACUCUGGCGCGUGUCCAGUCCGGCCCCUGCUUUGGCUCCAGGACAGCACCUGCCCAUUUUACAGGCAGGGACGGCGAGCCUAGGAGGCUGACUGAGCCAGCGAGGGCCCCGUCCCCAGCCCAGCGCUGUGUUCCUAGCAGCCAAGCCCCGGUCCUGGGUGUGGGGGGCUCUGGAGUCAGUCAGGGCCUGCUCUGCAGGACACUCUGGUUCCCGCCAGCUCCCAGCCCCACCAAUGCAGCUGGGAAAGGGUCAGUUGGGGGACCCCAAGGCUCUGCCUUCAUCAUUUGAGAAUAAUGACUCCCACCGAGGGCCGUAUGGGACUCGAAGAGGUGCACCAUGGGUACAGCGCGCAGCCUGGGCUUGCUGUAAAGCAAGGAUUCGCUCAGUGCAUUUAUGCAGUGAACAACCUGGCUAACUGUACCUGUCCCUUCCUGCCUGUCCCAUCCUUAACAGGCCACAUAGUGCUGACCUGGGCGAGGGGUGACCUGAAGGGCAGAGCACUCGGAUGGUGAGGCCUCAGCCGAGGUGAGCAGGCGGCUGUUCCCGAGCUCACGGCCGCUUCUGACUGGUGUUCAGCAGAGCUGGGGCCACCUCGGCCAGGAUCUGCAGAUGGGGAUGCAGCUGCCGGCUUCGAAGGCCUGCACUGCCUGGAGUGGAUGGACAGAGGGACACUGGCUGCCCUGCACCCCGGGCCCCAGCAGCCCUCACAGGCAGAAUUCCCAGCCCCAGAAAUGAUGCAGGAUUGUUCAGAGUCAGAGGCUGGGGUGGGGCCGGGGGUCUCCCCGGUCUGGAGUCCUCUGGGGUUGAUACGGAGGACACUCGUGACCAGGAGGCUCACAGGGAUGAAGGACGCGUGCUUCAGGGUGCUGUUGUGCUCACACGCGUGUGUAAGCGUCCUGACAGUGCCCUGCCCCAGGGCCACCCACGGGCUCUGCAGCCAGCAGUCUGUCUGUCUGUCUGUCCAUCCUCUGCCACUCAGGAUGCGGUGGGGCAGGGCCUCACCGUCCUACACUGCGGCCACGGCUGCUCCACGGCGGACACUAAGGUUUGAGCGCCGGUCACAGGGCAGGGAUGGCACAGUGGGACCGGAACCAGGGCGCCUGGCUGCGGGGUCCCCAGGGGUCCAGACAGGUCAGCGGAAGAGCAGAGGGCGGGACGGUGGGCGGCGCCUGCCCGUCCUCCUCCCCCUCCUCCAUCUCCUCCUCUUCCAUCUCCUCCUCCCCCUCCUCCUCCUCCCCUCCCCCUUCCCCUCCUCCUCCUCGGUGUUUCCCAGCACCCUCUUCCGUCCUCCCCACAUCCUCCCUGCCUGCCCACGCCUCUGUGGCCCUUAGGAACAUCGAACCCUGGACCCUUGAAUGUCCCAGACCUUUCUCACGGCAAACACGGAGCUGGUUUCUGGUCUGUUCACCGGUGCAGCCUCAGUGCCUCUGAGUGCCCGUGUACACGGUGGGUGCUCGGCAAACAGUCACCAGUGGUGGACCAUGUCCAAGCACACACAGUGGAAGGAAAUAGUAUACAGCCAUGAAAAUGGAGCUGGGGGACAGUAGUGGACAUCAACAAGCAUCUGGUCUGGAAGUGGGUGUGGAUUCCUCCAUUUUGCGUGAAGCCUUUCUUAGAGGAGGCGGAUGGAAUAAUAAGAAUUACGCACACAGAGUUCGUAAGAGACAGGCAGGAAUCCCCUCGAUGCGCACAAGUUGUGGAACCUGGUGAAUGGCUCCCCGAGCAGCCUGGGAGAGACCCCAGCACUGAGAAGGCUGAGGCAGGAGGGUCCAGAGGCGGAGGCCAGUGCGGGCAGCCUCGCCAGGUCCCGUGUACAGCUCGUACACAGCAGGGAGAGGAGCUGGGCGUGUAACGAGUCCUUAGGGUUCCCGCCUGUGUCCUCAGCGACAGAGGGGCGCGGGCUUCCCAGGUGACAGUUGGGGCUCCCCGACCCCCUCAGGGGAGCACCCAGGGGUACCCAGAAACUGCCCAGCUGCGGGUCUCGGGGUACGGGGGCCCCAUUCUGCGCACAGAUAACAGCGGCCCCGAGCCGCGGCACACACAGGGCCCGGGCGGGGGUGCCCAAGGUCAGCAGCCCUGGCCCGCAGUGCCCAGCACCCCGCCGCUCUCCCCGCUCUGGCCACCAGGGGGCCGCAUCGCGCGGACCGAGGAGGCCCAGCGCCGUUCUGGGGUCUCUGCCGCCCUCGCGUGGCCCUCGAUGGCAGCGCAGGCUGCUCCGCUUCACCGUGUCCCCAAGAACCGGGUCCCCAAGAAUCAGGUCCCCAAGAACGGGGCCUGGUGCGCACCAGGUCCCAGGGGGCACCGCAGGGCUCCCCAGAGGCACGGCGAGGAGGCGUCCCCAGGAGACGGCCCGGUACUCAGCCAUCCACACCCACUGGAGACGGCUGGGGCUUGGGGGUCAGGUGGGGUCCUGUGCGGUCACCUGGGGGACCGGCACUCACCCCAGGUGGGUGUCCUGCGUCUGCUAUUGCAAAAUGACCUCCUCACUGUGGGGAGGCGGGCGUACUGGCGCUCUCCUCUCUAAUCUGGGCUCUCUGGGAGGCUGAGGCAGGAGGCUCCCAAGUGGAGGCCCAGCUGGUCACUUAGGGAGACCCUGUCCCGAAGCAAAUUUUAAAAACUACUUUUACCCAGGGCGGGGAUGCCGCUGGGUGGGAGGAAUUUACACGCCCAGCCCCGGCGAUGCGGGUGAGCUGCAAACAGCCAGAGAAACCUGACAACUGCGGCAGGUGAGCUGCAGGAAGCGUCCCCGGCACACCGUGGAGCUGCCCAGCACGUGGGGACAGUGGCAGCAAACGCUGCUGUCACCCGAGUUCGCUGCCGCACAAAUUAUAUUAAGCUGAUUAAAAUCGCUAUGUUUGUACACAAAAGGUCAAAUAUUAAAAGAACUAAACAGAGCUGGGGCUGUAGCUCCGUGUGAGGGACCAGAGCCACAGGAAACAGAGCUGAGCAGAGCAGAGCAGAGCAGAGUCCCCCUCGGACCCUGCCGGCCCCCUACACUGCCACCACCGCGGUGGCCGCAGCCGUGGUCCCCGCCACCCGUCUGAGGGCUACAGAGCGAGCUCCUGGCUCGCUGACUCUGCCCGGCCUUGGUCACAUGGAGGUCUGGGGUGUACAUGCACGCUCAGGGGGACCCGCUAGCUCACCAGCUUAGUGUGGCCCUGCCUCAGCCUCCUGGUCCUCACCAGGACCACAGCAGACACAGGGAUGCUUCGUUCCGAGCUGGGCCCCUGGCUCUCCCCACCCACUGGGAGAGCCGGACCCUGUUGCCCACCCGGCCUGAACAGCCCCGACAGCUGGACUCGGGGGCUGGCAGGAAGGAAGGACCAUGCCCCCCACAGGCCGAGGGGUGCAGAGGAGCCCUGUGGAACCCGGCAAAGGGACACAAGGGGUCCCUGUUGCCUCAGGGACCUGUCCACUCCCUCUCUGUGCAGCCUCUUCCCGGGGUCCCCUCCCCACCAGGCUGCCCCAGGGGAGGGGUUGCCAGGAGACCAGAUGGGCUCUGCCCAGGCCGCCUGGGGUGGCUUUGUUGCCUGGCAACCCAGCAGCAGCGUCCCUUGAGCCCUGAGCACGCAGCCGCGCCCAGCCCUGCCUGGCGCCCUGGGCCCUGUCCUUAUUCCCCAGGACCAGGACCAGGGCCAGGGCCACCCACCAGGGCCACAAUGAACGUCGUCCUCUCCAGGGACGGCCAGGUGAGGGCGAUGGAGGCCACGGUGGUCAGUGCCGAGAAGCACUUCGGGCAGCUCUGCUCACUGCUGGCCGCCCACACACGCAAGACGGCCCGGCUUCGGGACGUGGGGGACCGGCUGGUCAAGCAGCUGAUCGAGGUCGCCGGCUCCGAGGCCCCCGACUUGCGGGCCACGCUGCGGGAGGUCGCCGAGGACCUGGCCAAAGUGCAGGACUACAGGCAGGCCCAAGUGGAGAGGCUGGAGGCCAAGGUCAUCGGUCCCCUGAAGCUCUAUGGCACCCAGAUAAAGCAGACCCGGGCUGAAAUCAAGAGGUUCAAGCGGGUCCAAAGCCAUGAGCUCAAACAGCUGGAAAGGCUGGAGAAACUGAGGCAGAAGUCGCCCUCGGAUCGGCAGGUGAUCUCACAGGUGAGUGUGGUGCCCUCCCCGGGGCAGGCAGGCGGAGAACAGUGUGCAGAGGGCCUCGGUGGACGCCAGCCGCACCACGCGGCAGCUGGAGGACACGGUGAACGCCUUCCAGCGGCAGAAGCUAAAGGACCUGCAGAGGGUCUUCCUGGACUUCGUGACCAUUGAGAUGCUGUUCCACGCCAAGGCGGUGGAAGUGUACUCCAGUGCCUGCCGGACCCUGGGCAGCUACGACCCGGAGCAGGACCUGCAGGACUUUCAAGCCAAGAUAUGGGGAGCUGCUGGGCACGUCAAGGCUCGGCCACUCACAGACGCCAUCCUGGGGCCGCCCUCUGGCCAGAGUACCUGGAGCAUCCCGGGGAGCCAGGCUACACAAGAGGAGGCCAGUGGCGAUGACUCGGCGGAUGAGGCGGCCCUGGAGGACCUCCGGGGAC